GAUGAACGCUGGCGGCGUGCCUAAUACAUGCAAGUCGAGCGAACAGACGAGGAGCUUGCUCCUCUGACGUUAGCGGCGGACGGGUGAGUAACCCGUGGAUAACCUACCUAUAUGACUGGGAUAACUUCGGGAAACCGGCGCUAAUACCGGAUAAUAUAUUGAACCGCAUGGUUCAAUAGUGAAAGACGGUUUUGCUGUCACUUAUAGAUGGAUCCGCGCCGCAUUAGCUGGUUGGUAAGGUAACGGCUUACCAAGGCAACGAUGCGUAGCCGACCUGAGAGGGUGAUCGGCCACACUGGAACUGAGACACGGUCCAGACUCCUACGGGAGGCAGCAGUAGGGAAUCGUCCGCAAUGGGCGAAAGCCUGACGGAGCAACGCCGCGUGAGUGAUGAAGGUCUUCGGAUCGUAAAACUCUGUUAUUAGGGAAGAACAAAUGUGUAAGUAACUAUGCACGUCUUGACGGUACCUAAUCAGAAAGCCACGGCUAACUACGUG
rnacentral:rRNA from 1 species